UGGGGAAUAUUGCACAAUGGGGGAAACCCUGAUGCAGCGACGCCGCGUGAACGAAGAAGGUAUUCGUAUCGUAAAGUUCUGUCCUAUGGGAAGAUAAUGACAGUACCAUAGAAGAAAGCUCCGGCUAAAUACGUGCCAGCAGCCGCGGUAAUACGUAUGGAGCGAGCGUUGUCCGGAAUUAUUGUGCGUAAAGGGUACGCAGGCGGUUUAAUAAGUCGAAUGUUAAAGAUCGGGGCUCAACCCCGCAAAGCAUUGGAAACUGAUAAACUUGAGUAGUGGAGAGGAAAGUGGAAUUCCUAGUGUAGUGGUGAAAUACGUAGAUAUUAGGAGGAAUACCAGUAGCGAAGGCGACUUUCUGGACACAAACUGACGCUGAGGUACGAAAGCGUGGGGAGCAAACAGG
rnacentral:rRNA from 1 species